AGAGUUUGAUCAUGGCUCAGGAUGAACGCUAGCGACAGGCCUAACACAUGCAAGUCGAGGGGCAUCGGGACGUAGCAAUACGUUGCCGGCGACCGGCGGAUGGGUGAGUAACGCGUAUGCAACCUACCCGUAGCAGGGGGAUAGCCCGUUGAAAGACGGAUUAAUACCCCGUAACACAGGGGCUCCGCAUGGAGAUUAUUGUUAAAGGGUCAUUUCUUUUAGAGGUGGUCCGGCUACGGAUGGGCAUGCGUUCCAUUAGGUAGUUGGUGUAGGUAACGGCUCACCAAGCCGACGAUGGAUAGGGGAACUGAGAGGUUGGUCCCCCACACUGGUACUGAGACACGGACCAGACUCCUACGGGAGGCAGCAGUGAGGAAUCUUGGUCAAUGGACGCAAGUCUGAACCAGCCAUGUCGCGUGAAGGAGGACGGCCCUAAGGGUUGUAAACUUCUUUUGCAGUGGAAUAAAGUUUGCCACGAGUUGGCGAUUUGCAAGUACGCUGCGAAUAAGGAUCGGCUAACUCCGUGCCAGCAGCCGCGGUAAUACGGAGGAUCCGGGCGUUAUCCGGAUUUAUUGGGUUUAAAGGGUGCGCAGGCGGGGAUUUAGGUCGGCGGUGAAAUUUCGGGGCUCAACCUCGAUAGUGCCGUUGAAACCGUUUCUCUUGAGUGCGGAUGAGGUAGGCGGAAUUUGUGGUGUAGCGGUGAAAUGCGUAGAUAUCACAAGGAACACCGAUUGCGGAGGCAGCUUACUAAACCGUUACUGACGCUCAUGCACGAAGGCGUGGGGAUCAAACAGGAUUAGAUACCCUGGUAGUCCACGCAGUAAACGAUGAUUACUUGCUGUUUGCGAUACACGGUAAGCGGCGUAGCGAAAGCGUUAAGUAAUCCACCUGGGGAGUACGUUCGCAAGAAUGAAACUCAAAGGAAUUGACGGGGGCCCGCACAAGCGGAGGAACAUGUGGUUUAAUUCGAUGAUACGCGAGGAACCUUACCCGGGCUUGAAAUGCAUUCGACUGGGUCGGAAACGGCCUUUCCCUUCGGGGCGGA
rnacentral:rRNA from 1 species